AGGGUAUAGGGACUUCCAAGGGUCGACCAUUUACUAUUAAGGAAGUCAAGACUUCUUCCAUUGGCCAACUUGUGAGCAUAUUACACGAUGCUCAGAUGUGAAACCGUUGAUGCAAGUUGCUACCAGGAGGUAACAACUAGGGUAUUUAUGCCUCUCUGUGUGGGUGUCCAACUAGUCGCUGUAAAACAAACAUUACUAAAGGAAACCUCAUCUUUCAACUCAGAGCAUCAAAGAUUUUGAGGCUCCAUGAGGCUAAGAUUCAAGAGUUAUCUGAACAUGUUCAAAAAUGUCAUAUUGCUUUGACUGUUUCCAAAUGUGUGCACAACGAGGAAGGUGAGGCCUAUAGAAGUCAACGAAGCAAAACGGGAUGACAAAUGAAAUGUUUUAAGUGGAAGAAUAUUUGUAAUCAUACCAUCUACCAUUUUGGACCAAAUUCUGGCCGAGAAUGAUUUAGAAAUAAGAGGGGUUUGGUUGCCUAUAGGGAACUGUAGAUAAUAGGGUUUUCAUUUUCCAAAUUUUGCUUAUAUUAGUGGUCAAACCAAAUACGGAGUACAAUCCGUAUUCGGCUUUACCCUUAAUACCAACAACAUGAGUUAGGUGAACACCCCAUUGUGCAAUUUAAGGGAAACUUCCAACUAUCGUUAACCUAAACCCUUGUCUUAUUUUCUGGAUCAUUCUCAACUAAAUUGUUCCAAAAUGGUCAGUGAUGGUAUGGACACAAAUAUCCGUCCGCUUCAAGCAUUUCCUUUGCCAGCCCGUUUGGCUCGUUCACUUUU